AGCGAACAACAAAUUAAAUGUGAAAAACAAAAAAAAAAACUACUGCUAGAAGUAGAGCUAUAAGGAAUCGAACCUUUUAUUCUAUUGCGCUCUCAAUUCAACAGGUGGAAGGUCAAUAAUUCUACAAAAUUUUGUUGAAGUACAUGCAUUCAAUUAUGAUUUUAUUGGGAGAUGAGAAGGGAACGGUUUUGAAAGAUGAGGGAUUUUGGAGGUUGGGAGAUGAGAGGGAAUAGUUUUGGUGCAAUUAUAUGCAUUCAAUUGUGGUUUUAUUGGGAGAUAAGGAGGGAACGGUUUUGAAGAUGAGGGGUUUUGAAGGUUGGGAGAUGAAAGAGAGCAGUUUUGAAAGAAAGAGGUAACGCCAUGUCAGCAAGAUAUUGGGGAUUCAUAGAUUAGUAUAGAUAUGGCAAAUACGUAAUAAUUUUUAUGUGUUAAAUAUCAUACACUACUAGAAAUAGGAGGAGAAGCGAGAGCUAAGACGUAUUUAUCUUAAGCAUAAAUCUAUAUUAGGACCACUACAACAAAAACGGUGUAUAGCGACACUUUUAAAUGUAGGUACAUGUCAAAAAAGUGCUGCUAGCUAAAAUUACCGACACUUUUAAAAAGUAUUGCUAUAUGUGGGGUCGCUAGGUAUAUAGUGACAGUUAAAGAGUGUCGCUAUAACCUAAAAGAGUGCUGCUAAUUUAUCAAUACUUAUUUAAGCAUUUAGCAACCGCCGAAACUCUAUCUCGUUGGCUGCGGUGGCGGAGGAGGACGACAGGAAAGGCUCUUCGUCUAGAAUUUCAGUGGAUUGAGUGAAUAGAAAAGAAAAGAUGGUAAUUGGUUUUUCUUUUUGUUUUUCUUUUUUGUUUGUAAUCGGGCCAAAUGGACUGGGUGUGGUGGGUUGAGUAGAGUACUCUUUUAUUUUUGGUUGGAUUGGGCUUUAUAUUUAGGCAUUAGUAGAUGUUUUUUAAAUUUUAGCAUAAAUGGAACACUUACUCAAAAGUGUCUCAAACAUGUGUCUCUAUAACCUAAUUCUGUUGUAGUGGACAUAGAUUAUUCUUAAGAGAGUGUUGUUAAACAAUUAA
rnacentral:lncRNA from 1 species